rnacentral:rRNA from 1 species
CACGUAGGGGCCAAGCGUUGUCCGGAUUCAUUGGGCGUAAAGAGCUCGUAGGCGGUUCAGUUAGUCGGGUGUGAAAUCUCCGGGCUCAACCCGGAGGGGCCACCCGAUACUGCUGUGACUCGAGUCCGGUAGGGGAGUGGGGAAUUCCUGGUGUAGCGGUGAAAUGCGCAGAUAUCAGGAGGAACACCGGUGGCGAAGGCGCCACUCUGGGCCGGUACUGACGCUGAGGAGCGAAAGCGUGGGGAGCAAACAGG